AAGAGUAUAGUUUAAUGGUAAAACAGAAAGCUUCAACCUUUAAAUUCUUAGUUCGAGUCUAAGUACUCUUGCCA
rnacentral:tRNA from 1 species